rnacentral:lncRNA from 1 species
GCAGUUUUUAUUUUGGUUGGCUAGUGCGAGACAGUGCACACACACACACUUUCAUAUUUUCCAAUAAAGUCAUCUAAUUUUUAAAACAAUCUAACUUCAGCUACCCAAAAUAUACAACAGAUCAAUAUGGAAAAGUAUUAAUACAUUUAUACUCUUUCAAAGAUCCCAUAUUGUCAGGCUAUUUGUAACUCUCACAGUUGUGACAGAUAGAAGUUAAAUAAUUAUUCAUAAUUAACUGACAUGUUCAUUCUUGUCCUCUCUUGCCAAAUCUGUUCAAUGUAAUUAGAUGAUUGCUUGUGUUCCAUUUUGCUCUGAUGGGCUCCAAUUCUGGCUGAGUUUCAUGCAUUGGAAUCAUAUCCUGCAGUUAUCAUUGUUAUUUUCUCCACUACAUAUCCCCCUGUAGAAGUGCACCAUGCCAGGCAUAUCAUUCUGUAUAUUUUACUCUGCUAAUGACAUCAAAGAAUGUAUCACUAUCAUUUUUCUGGCCCACCAAAAUAACAUUUACUCCUGUAUCCUACAUGUGAUUAAUAUGGAAAGGAUAUGCUAUGCUAGAAUGCAGAACUCUCAAGUAAAGAACCCUGUGAUAAAUCUACUGUCUUUCCUGCAAACUACUGGAGUGCUUUUGGGUAAGUUGCUUUAUUUCUCUAAUUCUCAAUUUACUUAUCUAUAAAAUGAAACUAAAAAUCCACAAUGUCUUAGGGAAUUUUUAGAGAUUUGCAUUUAUAGUGCAUGAUAAUUUAUAAAAGAAAAGUUAAGAUUCUUUUCCAAAGACAGGUUUUCCUUCGCAGAAAUUGGGCAGCUGCUACCUUGCAUACAUUGCUAACAUGGCUGAGUUUUAACGGAAGUAUUUUUCUUACCAUAAUUCCUCUUUUGGUGUUAAUAGGGGACUUCUAAUUAGGUCUUAGUCUAUUUGGGAAGGUUAAUAGUAAAGUACUAAGCAUUUAUACAAACACAAUCAAAGGUUGCUUGCAAGUGUAGGGAAAGAAGGCAACUAUAAAUAUUCACUAUUUUCUAGUUGAGUUUUUCCCUAUUGACAUUAGUUGUAAAAGAUAGAAUUUCAUAAUAGGAACAGGCGUGGAAGGAAAGGAACUAUUUCAACUCAUCAGAGUCACAGAGCCAUCUCUGAAGUCCUCAAGUUUAUACAUGGGAAGUGCCAAAAUUUGAUCUUCAGUGUAAAAUUUCUUCCAUAUUCUCUUGGAUACACAGAGCAAAUAGAGAAACUACAGCAGAUAGACUUUUACAAUGGCAAAAUAUGAUGGAAAAGACUCUGGGCUCAUCCUUCAGAGAAGCCUUCUGUGGCAGAGUAACUGUCUGUGGAAGGAAAAAGUAAAUCAUUUUUAAAAACCCCACUGCUCCAAAAUCUGCUCUAAUGCCACUGUCUUCAGGGCCAAGUAUUCCAUCUGGCAAGAGCAAGUCAUGGAAAAGCACAAAGGUAAUUUACCCAAUUGGCCUGGGCAGAACAUUGUUUCUUCAGUUAUUUUUUGUGACUCUCCCUUCAGAGUGUGAUUCAGACAGUUCUGCACCAAGAUCAGUGGCUGUGCAGAGUUCAAAUAGGUGAAAAUACAGCUCUGGAUGAGUAGCACUGUAUUUUUUCUCAGUUCAGUCUCUCGUUCUUCAUUGCUCAGCUCAGAGUUUCUCUCUCUGUCUUCAUUGCUCAACUUCGUGUCCCUGCUUCCCAACAGGAGAACCCUAUCUAAAAUAUUUAUUUUUAAAAAAUCUUGAUAUCAUCCCAUCAUAGAACAAGAUAUACAGUACGGUGCUCAAGCUCGUGAUGAUAAAAUAUCAGGGAUCUUUGAAAAUUUAUAAUCUAAGAGCCUCAACUUCUGAAUGAGCUGCUAUGAUAAAUGCAAUUUAUUGGAGACUUCCUCAUCUUUAUUAUUUUCUAUGAUUCCAGGCAAGAGUCAUUUCAAAAUGAGUCUACUUUAGCUUCAGUACCCUUGGAAACCAACCAAUCCAAUGGUUUUACUGCCUUGGUGAGAUGCUGUAUUUCUUGGGAAUUGCCAUUUAGUAGAUUAAAAUUAUAAAACCCAGCAGAGGGAAAUUUCCCAACAGCAAAUCAAUUUAUAUGUCUUUCAGAGAGUUUUCCAGAAAUGUACUUAAGAACUGCUGACUCAAUGUAAUGUUCUUCCAAAGCCAGGACACUCAGGGCCGAUAAGGACACUAACCCGUGUAUUUUCUGAGCUUUUCCUAGCUGGAUAUUUGUACUAUGUGAAAUUCAUGUUCUGUACUCUAGAGACAUGAAUCACUUGUUCAAUUAAAAAUAGUAUUUCUCUGGCAAUUGUUUGAUCAAGAAUGGGAAUAAGUUGUGGGUGAAAUUGUGACCAUCUGCAUUCCUGUCUUGGAAACCUGCCUGUUGUUUUGUAACCAUAUGCAGACUCAUUGAUCAGUUUUUCUCUCUGAAACAUCAAUACCAAAAUUAAUGACUAUAGCUUCUUCUAGGAUUUUCUUAAAAUUAGUUCAGGGCUUUCCAAUGUGGGAGUUAAAUGCAUGCUUAUUCUUGUAGAAUUUAGAAAAUAUAAUCACAUUCCAAGAGAAAAGCAUAUUGAGGGCCUAGUCAUAUGUAAUUCUUCACCAAAUUCUGGGUCUUCUUUUGUUGGCUCAAAACAAAUAAAUAUAAUUGCCCCAAAGAAUUACAGUGUAGAGAUGACCUAAUCAAUGACAGUCUCUUAAUUUUAAU